rnacentral:rRNA from 1 species
CAGUAGCCGCGGUAAUACGAGGGGAGCUAGCGUUAUUCGGAAUUACUGGGCGUAAAGCGCACGUAGGCGGCUUUGUAAGUUAGAGGUGAAAGCCCAGAGCUCAACUCUGGAAUUGCCUUUAAGACUGCAUCGCUUGAACCCAGGAGAGGUGAGUGGAAUUCCGAGUUUAGAGGUGAAAUUCGUAGAUAUUCGGAAGAACACCAGUGGCGAAGGCGGCUCACUGGACUGGUAUUGACGCUGAGGUGCGAAAGCGUGGGGAGCAAACAGGAUUAGAGACCCCCGUAGUCCCUGUCUCUUAUAA